UUGGAUGUGAAUUGAUUUAUGUUUGGAUAUAUUUUACUAAAAGUGAUUCUUAUGAGUUGAUGUUAUUUAAUAA
rnacentral:pre_miRNA from 1 species